rnacentral:lncRNA from 1 species
AGAGAACGAGGUUGUUCAUUGGAGAUGGCUGCCAGCUUAGAAAGGGGCAGCUUCAUAGCUCCCACGAGGGAGGUCCUUUUAUCUAGGUAUUCCAAGUUGUCUUUAAAGCAAAGGAUCCUGCCCCUGUGGAGUUAUGUCUUUGAUUUUUUUGGUGUUCGAUUCCUUUUCAAGAAGAAUGACCGGUUGCUUAUGCCUUGAGGAAAUCGAAGCCCCUUUCACAA